UACGGGGGGAGCAAGCGUUGUUCGGAUUUACUGGGCGUAAAGGGCGCGUAGGCGGCCACCGCAAGUCGACUGUGAAAUCUCCGGGCUUAACCCGGAAAGGUCAGCCGAUACUGGCGAGCUAGAGUGUGAUAGAGGAUGGUGGAAUUCCCGGUGUAGCGGUGAAAUGCGUAGAGAUCGGGAGGAACAUCAGUGGCGAAGGCGGCCAUCUGGAUCAACACUGACGCUGAGGCACGAAAGCGUGGGGAGCAAACAGG
rnacentral:rRNA from 1 species